GAGACAGCAGUCGCCACGGGAAUACGUAGGGUGCAAGCGUUAAUCGGAAUUACAGGGCGUAAAGCGCACGUAGGCGGCUUGGUAAGUUAGAGGUGAAAGCCCGGAGCUCAACUCCGGAAUUGCCUUUAAGACUGCCGAGCUAGUAGGCGAGAGAGGUAAGUGGAAUUCCGAGUGUAGAGGUGAAAUUCGUAGAUAUUCGGAAGAACACCAGUGGCGAAGGCGGCUUACUGGCUCAUUCUAGACGCUGAGGUGCGAAAGCGUGGGGAGCAAACAGGAUUAGAUACCCGCGUAGUCCCUGUCUCUUAUAC
rnacentral:rRNA from 1 species